UCGUCUAUUUUGUUUGUGAAA
rnacentral:piRNA from 1 species